CCCCACAAUCCCAACUUGUUUGAAGGUUGAAAGGCCAAAACCUCCCCCUCUCCUCUUGCCGUUUCUCUCCGGCCGCCAAGAGCUAAGAACGAAAGGUGCUGCGCUCGAUCACGAGGAAGAAGAAAGAGUCUGGAUUCUAUUAAUUGAACCACCUAUGGAAAUCAUGGAUCUUCAGCGUCGGCUCACUAAGGACAACCGCCCCUUAAAAUAGAGCUUCAGAGGCGGUUCACUUAAAGGAACCGACUCUAAGAAUUCAGAGGCGGUUUUCUUAAGUGAACAGCCUCUAAAACGGUUGAAUCAGAGGCGGUUCAGAAGCUGCAGUGCCCAACGAUAUGGUUAGAGACGAUUUCCUAUGUGGACCGCCUCUGAUGAAAAUGGGAGGCAUUGCUGAAAUUGAUUUCUGUACUAGUGUUGCCAACUUUGGAGGAAGACGCAUGUUCAUUCAUUCCGAGCUCUCCAUUGCAGAUGUUUUAAUUUGCUGCAAGCCACCUUUUUAUGAAACAAAUGAAGUGAAAGGCAGCAGCGCUUCACUGGCAUAGGUCAAGGCCGCCCAAAGCGUUGAAGUUGCAGAGUAAAGGACAUCAUAACGUUCAAAUGUAAAUGACUGAGUUGCCCUCUUAGGUCUCGUUCGUUUCUGGCGGAUUGGCCCGUUUCCAGGCCCAUUCCGGGUGGAAUGCUGUGGCCCGUUUCCAAUCCAGAUGCGAAUAAAAAUGUGCGUUCGUUUCAGCCCGACCUGAAACUAAAACUGGUCCGGAACCAAAACUGCCCUAGCUUUUCCCUAUCUCCACGGCUGGAAUAGAACCGGACCUCUUGACCUCUGGAUUGAUUCCGUCUCACAUGAGCACGCGACGACUCGAGCCAUCGAGCAGACGCGACGGCAACCCAAGCAGAAGCAACGAUGGGGCGGCGUGAGGAGACCACGGAGCAGCAUGGGGCAACCAUGGAGCAGCGCGAGGCAACUGCAGGGUGGCUGCGGGGCAAUGCCCUUCUCCUUCCUCGUCCUUCUCGCCGGGAGGAUGCAAUGAUCAAGAAACAUUGGAUUGGACAAAGUGCAUUUACACAUGAGUAGGAUUAGAUGAGCUAUGUACUGGUUAAAUUAUGCUUUGGAUUUGAAAGAUUGUAAUUUCAUGAGUGGAUCAUGACAACCUUUUGGUGCACCUUUUGCCAAUUUUGGCAGUAGCUAGCAUGUCUUUGUAUGUGGUUGCACAUUAUCUGUGAUACUCUUUGCUGCCCAUUAUCUCUACAUGCAUGAUGAGAGACUUGCAGAUAAAGAACUCCAAAAUAUUGAAGAUUUAUUGAUUUUAUUUUGCUGCAA